ACGAACGCUGGCGGCGUGCUUAACACAUGCAAGUCGAACGGAAAGGCCCCUUUGGGGGUACUCGAGUGGCGAACGGGUGAGUAACACGUGAGUAACCUGCCCUUGACUUCGGGAUAACUUCAGGAAACUGGGGCUAAUACCGGAUAGGAAUCCUUGCUGCAUGGUGGGGGUUGGAAAGCUUCGGCGGUUUUGGAUGGACUCGCGGCUUAUCAGCUUGUUGGUGGGGUAGUGGCUUACCAAGGCUUGGACGGGUAGCCGGCCUGAGAGGGCGACCGGCCACAUUGGGACUGAGAUACGGCCCAGACUCCUACGGGAGGCAGCAGUGGGGAAUAUUGCACAAUGGGCGGAAGCCUGAUGCAGCAACGCCGCGUGCGGGAUGACGGCCUUCGGGUUGUAAACCGCUUUCAGCAGGGGCGAAGCUUGUGGUGACGGUACCUGCAGAAGAAGCACCGGCUAACUACGUG
rnacentral:rRNA from 1 species